AGAAUCAACGCUGGCGGCGUGCCUAAUACAUGCAAGUCGAACGCGAAGACCCCGCAAGGGGUUGGUAGCGUGGCAAACGGGUGAGUAACGCGUGGGCGACCUGCCUUCGAGUGGGGGGAUAACCUUCCGAAAGGAGGGCUAAUACCGCAUGACAUGCCUCGUUUAGAUACGGGGACAUCAAAGCCGGGGAUCGCAAGACCUGGCGCUUGAAGAGGGGCCUACGUCCGAUUAGCUAGUUGGUGGGGUAAUGGCUCACCAAGGCGACGAUCGGUA
rnacentral:rRNA from 1 species